GAUAGAAUGGCUGAGGUUAUAAGCGAUAAAUUGUAAAUUUAUUAACGAGUUUGACUCUUCUAUCA
rnacentral:tRNA from 1 species